rnacentral:rRNA from 1 species
CUCAGAUUGAACGCUGGCGGAAUGCUUUACACAUGCAAGUCGAACGGUAGAGGGGGCAACCCCUUGAGAGUGGCGAACGGGUGAGUAAUAUAUCGGAACGUGCCCGAGUCGUGGGGGAUAACGUAGCGAAAGUUACGCUAAUACCGCAUACGAUCUAAGGAUGAAAGCGGGGGAUCGCAAGACCUCGCGCGAUUGGAGCGGCCGAUAUCAGAUUAGGUAGUUGGUGGGGUAAAGGCUCACCAAGCCAACGAUCUGUAGCUGGUCUGAGAGGACGACCAGCCACACUGGAACUGAGACACGGUCCAGACUCCUACGGGAGGCAGCAGUGGGGAAUUUUUGGACAAUGGACGCAAGUCUGAUCCAGCCAUUCCGCGUGCAGGAUGAAGGCCCUCGGGUUGUAAACUGCUUUUGUACGGAACGAAAAGGUUUCUCUUAAUACGAGGAGCUCAUGACGGUACCGUAAGAAUAAGCACCGGCUAACUACGUG